rnacentral:rRNA from 1 species
AUUGAACGCUGGCGGCAUGCCUUACACAUGCAAGUCGAACGGUAACGCGGGGCAACCUGGCGACGAGUGGCGAACGGGUGAGUAAUGCAUCGGAACGUGCCCAGUAGUGGGGGAUAGCCCGGCGAAAGCCGGAUUAAUACCGCAUACGACCUACGGGUGAAAGGGGGGGGUCGCAAGACCUCUCGCUAUUGGAGCGGCCGAUGUCAGAUUAGGUAGUUGGUGGGGUAAAGGCCUACCAAGCCGACGAUCUGCAGCUGGGCUGAGAGGACGACCAGCCACACUGGGACUGAGACACGGCCCAGACUCCUACGGGAGGCAGCAGUGGGGAAUUUUGGACAAUGGGCGCAAGCCUGAUCCAGCCAUGCCGCGUGCGGGAAGAAGGCCUUCGGGUUGUAAACCGCUUUUGUCAGGGAAGAAAUCUUCUGGGUUAAUACCUCGGGAGGAUGACGGUACCUGAAGAAUAAGCACCGGCUAACUACGUGCCAGCAGCCGCCGUAAGAC